AUUGAACGCUGGCGGCAGGCCUAACACAUGCAAGUCGAGCGGAUGAAGGGAGCUUGCUCCUGGCUUCAGCGGCGGACGGGUGAGUAAUGCCUAGGAAUCUGCCUGGUAGUGGGGGCUAACGUCCGGAAACGGGCGCUAAUACCGCAUACGUCCUGAGGGUGAACGUGGGGGAUCUUCGGACCUCACGCUAUCAGAUGAGCCUAGGUCGGAUUAGCUAGUUGGUGGGGUAAAGGCCUACCAAGGCGACGAUCCGUAACUGGUCUGAGAGGAUGAUCAGUCACACUGGAACUGAGACACGGUCCAGACUCCUACGGGAGGCAGCAGUGGGGAAUAUUGGACAAUGGGCGAAAGCCUGAUCCAGCCAUGCCGCGUGUGUGAAGAAGGUCUUCGGAUUGUAAAGCACUUUAAGUUGGGAGGAAGGGCAGUAAGUUAAUACCUUGCUGUUUUGACGUUACCAACAGAAUAAGCACCGGCUAACUUCGUG
rnacentral:rRNA from 1 species